rnacentral:rRNA from 1 species
UGGGGAAUAUUACACAAUGGGCGCAAGCCUGAUGCAGCCAUGCCGCGUGUGUGAAGAAGGCCUUCGGGUUGUAAAGCACUUUCAGCGGGGAGGAAGGCGAUAAGGUUAAUAACCUUGUCGAUUGACGUUACCCGCAGAAGAAGCACCGGCUAACUCCGUGCCAGCAGCCGCGGUAAUACGGAGGGUGCAAGCGUUAAUCGGAAUUACUGGGCGUAAAGCGCACGCAGGCGGUUGAUUGAGUCAGAUGUGAAAUCCCCGGGCUUAACCCGGGAAUUGCAUCUGAUACUGGUCAGCUAGAGUCUUGUAGAGGGGGGUAGAAUUCCAUGUGUAGCGGUGAAAUGCGUAGAGAUGUGGAGGAAUACCGGUGGCGAAGGCGGCCCCCUGGACAAAGACUGACGCUCAGGUGCGAAAGCGUGGGGAGCAAACAGG